rnacentral:SRP_RNA from 1 species
GCCGGGCAUGGUGGCUCAUGCCUGUAAUCCCAGCACUUUGGGAGGCUGAGGUGGGUGGAUUGCUUGAGCUCAGGAGUUCAAGACCAGCCUGACCAACAUGGCAAAACCCCACCUCUA